rnacentral:rRNA from 1 species
UUAAGCGACUAAGCGUACACGGUGGAUGCCCUGGCAGUCAGAGGCGAUGAAGGACGUGCUAAUCUGCGAAAAGCGUCGGUAAGGUGAUAUGAACCGUUAUAACCGGCGAUGUCCGAAUGGGGAAACCCAGUGCAAUUCGUUGCACUAUCGUUAACUGAAUACAUAGGUUAACGAGGCGAACCGGGGGAACUGAAACAUCUAAGUACCCCGAGGAAAAGAAAUCAACCGAGAUUCCCCCAGUAGCGGCGAGCGAACGGGGAGCAGCCCAGAGUCUGAAUCAGCUUGUGUGUUAGUGGAACGGUCUGGAAAGUCCGACGGUACAGGGUGAUAGUCCCGUACACCAAAAUGCACAGGCUGUGAACUCGAAGAGUAGGGCGGGACACGUGGUAUCCUGUCUGAAUAUGGGGGGACCAUCCUCCAAGGCUAAAUACUCCUGACUGACCGAUAGUGAACCAGUACCGUGAGGGAAAGGCGAAAAGAACCCCGGCGAGGGGAGUGAAAAAGAACCUGAAACCGUGUACGUACAAGCAGUGGGAGCACCUUCGGGUGUGACUGCGUACCUUUUGUAUAAUGGGUCAGCGACUUAUAUUCUGUAGCAAGGUUAACCGUAUAGGGGAGCCGCAGGGAAACCGAGUCUUAACUGGGCGUUAAGUUGCAGGGUAUAGACCCGAAACCCGGUGAUCUAGCCAUGGGCAGGUUGAAGGUUGGGUAACACUAACUGGAGGACCGAACCGACUAAUGUUGAAAAAUUAGCGGAUGACUUGUGGCUGGGGGUGAAAGGCCAAUCAAACCGGGAGAUAGCUGGUUCUCCCCGAAAGCUAUUUAGGUAGCGCCUCGUGAAUUCAUCUUCGGGGGUAGAGCACUGUUUCGGCUAGGGGGUCAUCCCGACUUACCAACCCGAUGCAAACUACGAAUACCGAAGAAUGUUAUCACGGGAGACACACGGCGGGUGCUAACGUCCGUCGUGAAGAGGGAAACAACCCAGACCGCCAGCUAAGGUCCCAAAGUCAUGGUUAAGUGGGAAACGAUGUGGGAAGGCACAGACAGCCAGGAUGUUGGCUUAGAAGCAGCCAUCAUUUAAAGAAAGCGUAAUAGCUCACUGGUCGAGUCGGCCUGCGCGGAAGAUGUAACGGGGCUAAACCAUGCACCGAAGCUGCGGCAGCGACACUAUGUGUUGUUGGGUAGGGGAGCGUUCUGUAAGCCUGCGAAGGUGACCUGUGAGGGUUGCUGGAGGUAUCAGAAGUGCGAAUGCUGACAUAAGUAACGAUAAAGCGGGUGAAAAGCCCGCUCGCCGGAAGACCAAGGGUUCCUGUCCAACGUUAAUCGGGGCAGGGUGAGUCGACCCCUAAGGCGAGGCCGAAAGGCGUAGUCGAUGGGAAACAGGUUAAUAUUCCUGUACUUGGUGUUACUGCGAAGGGGGGACGGAGAAGGCUAUGUUAGCCGGGCGACGGUUGUCCCGGUUUAAGCAUGUAGGCUGGUUAUCCAGGCAAAUCCGGAUAAUCAAGGCUGAGGUGUGAUGACGAGGCACUACGGUGCUGAAGUAACAAAUGCCCUGCUUCCAGGAAAAGCCUCUAAGCAUCAGGUAACAUCAAAUCGUACCCCAAACCGACACAGGUGGUCAGGUAGAGAAUACCAAGGCGCUUGAGAGAACUCGGGUGAAGGAACUAGGCAAAAUGGUGCCGUAACUUCGGGAGAAGGCACGCUGGUGUGUAGGUGAAGUCCCUGCGGAUGGAGCUGAGACCAGUCGAAGAUACCAGCUGGCUGCAACUGUUUAUUAAAAACACAGCACUGUGCAAACACGAAAGUGGACGUAUACGGUGUGACGCCUGCCCGGUGCCGGAAGGUUAAUUGAUGGGGUUAUCCGUAAGGAGAAGCUCUUGAUCGAAGCCCCGGUAAACGGCGGCCGUAACUAUAACGGUCCUAAGGUAGCGAAAUUCCUUGUCGGGUAAGUUCCGACCUGCACGAAUGGCGUAAUGAUGGCCAGGCUGUCUCCACCCGAGACUCAGUGAAAUUGAACUCGCUGUGAAGAUGCAGUGUACCCGCGGCAAGACGGAAAGACCCCGUGAACCUUUACUAUAGCUUGACACUGAACAUUGAGCCUUGAUGUGUAGGAUAGGUGGGAGGCUUUGAAGCGUGGACGCCAGUCUGCGUGGAGCCAACCUUGAAAUACCACCCUUUAAUGUUUGAUGUUCUAACGUUGGCCCCUGACCGGGGUUGCGGACAGUGUCUGGUGGGUAGUUUGACUGGGGCGGUCUCCUCCCAAAGCGUAACGGAGGAGCACGAAGGUUAGCUAAUCCUGGUCGGACAUCAGGAGGUUAGUGCAAUGGCAUAAGCUAGCUUGACUGCGAGCGUGACGGCGCGAGCAGGUGCGAAAGCAGGUCAUAGUGAUCCGGUGGUUCUGAAUGGAAGGGCCAUCGCUCAACGGAUAAAAGGUACUCCGGGGAUAACAGGCUGAUACCGCCCAAGAGUUCAUAUCGACGGCGGUGUUUGGCACCUCGAUGUCGGCUCAUCACAUCCUGGGGCUGAAGUAGGUCCCAAGGGUAUGGCUGUUCGCCAUUUAAAGUGGUACGCGAGCUGGGUUUAGAACGUCGUGAGACAGUUCGGUCCCUAUCUGCCGUGGGCGCUGGAGAAUUGAGGGGGGCUGCUCCUAGUACGAGAGGACCGGAGUGGACGCAUCACUGGUGUUCGGGUUGUCAUGCCAAUGGCACUGCCCGGUAGCUAAAUGCGGAAGAGAUAAGUGCUGAAAGCAUCUAAGCACGAAACUUGCCCCGAGAUGAGUUCUCCCUGAGACUUUAAGUCUCCUGAAGGAACGUUGAAGACGACGACGUUGAUAGGCCGGGUGUGUAAGCGCAGCGAUGCGUUGAGCUAACCGGUACUAAUGAACCGUGAGGCUUAACCU